rnacentral:rRNA from 1 species
CCUACGGGUGGCAGCAGUGAGGAAUAUUGGUCAAUGGACGCGAGUCUGAACCAGCCAAGUCGCGUGAAGGCUGACUGCCCUACGAGUUGUAAACUUCUUUUGUAAGAGGGUAAACUGAGGCACGUGUACCUUUCUGUAUGUACUUUAUGAAUAAGGAUCGGCUAACUCCGUGCCAGCAGCCGCGGUAAUACGGAGGAUCCAAGCGUUAUCCGGAUUUAUUGGGUUUAAAGGGAGCGUAGACGGUCUGUUAAGUCAGUUGUGAAAGUUUGCGGCUCAACCGUAAAAUUGCAAUUGAUACUGGCAGGCUUGAGUAUAGUUGAGGUAGGCGGAAUGCGUGGUGUAGCGGUGAAAUGCUUAGAUAUCACGAAGAACUCCGAUUGCGAAGGCAGCUUACCAAGCUGCCUCUGACAUUGAUGCUCGAAAGCGUGGGUAGCAAACAGGAUUAGAUACCCCUGUAGUC